CCUACGGGAGGCAGCAGUGGGGGAUAUUGCACAAUGGGGGGAACCCUGAUCCAGCGACGCCGCGUGAGUGAAGAAGUAUCUCGGUAUGUAAAGCUCUGUCAGCAGGGAAGCAAGUAAUGACGGUACCUGCCCAAGAAGCCCCGGCUAACUACGUGCUAGCAGCCGCGGUAAUACGUAGGGGGCAAGAGUUAUUCGGCAUUACUGGGUGUAAAGGGGGCGUAGACGGUUAAGUAAGUCUGGAGUGAAAGGCCGGGGCCCAACACCGGGACUGCUCUGGAAACUAUUGAACUUGAGUGCAGGAGAGGGAAGCGGAAUUCCUAGUGUAGCGGUGAAAUGCGUAGAUAUUAGGAGGAACACCAGUGGCGAAGGCGGCUUACUGGACUGUAACUGACGUUGAGGCUCGAAAGCGUGGGGAGCAAACAGGAUUAGAUACCCUAGUAGUC
rnacentral:rRNA from 1 species